AUGAACGCUGGCGGCGUGCCUAAUACAUGCAAGUCGAGCGAACAGACGAGGAGCUUGCUCCUCUGACGUUAGCGGCGGACGGGUGAGUAACACGUGGAUAACCUACCUAUAAGACUGGGAUAACUUCGGGAAACCGGAGCUAAUACCGGAUAAUAUAUUGAACCGCAUGGUUCAAUAGUGAAAGACGGUUUUGCUGUCACUUAUAAAUGGAUCCGCGCCGCAUUAGCUAGUUGGUAAGGUAACGGCUUACCAAGGCGACGAUGCGUAGCCGACCUGAGAGGGUGAUCGGCCACACUGGAACUGAGACACGGUCCAGACUCCUACGGGAGGCAGCAGUAGGGAAUCUUCCGCAAUGGGCGAAAGCCUGACGGAGCAACGCCGCGUGAGUGAUGAAGGUCUUCGGAUCGUAAAACUCUGUUAUUAGGGAAGAACAAAUGUGUAAGUAUCUAUGCACGUCUUGACGGUACCUAAUCAGAAAGCCACGGCUAACUACGUG
rnacentral:rRNA from 1 species